UUCAAAGGUUUUGUGCUCUGGUUUUCAGGUAUCUGUUAUAUGGUGAACAAAAUAUCUUCUGUUGCUGCUCUUCAUGCCAAAAAUCUAGAACGGUGACUGCCAAAGCUUGGGUCGGGUCCCAAUGGUGGAUCAUAAAACACCAAGUGGAAGGUCCAUAGAUGAAUGCCAGACAUUAUAGAAUAUUUUCAAACAGCAUAUCUCUGCAAAUGUUGCCAGGCAAACAAACAAACAGGAUCUCAAAUGAGAGCUGUAUUCAGAGGAUCAAAUCUCAACAUCAUUAACAUGAUACUGAUUGUCUGCAUAUUUAGUUUCUUUCAUUUGCCAGGAAAUGGUGCUUCCGACUCCAAAAAUGUCGACCAAACUCCUCCUUUCAUCAUUAAGAAAACUGGUGAAUCUGUGGACGGAGAGAUAAGAUGUUCA